rnacentral:tRNA from 1 species
GCGCCCGUAGCUCAGCGGAUAGAGUGCCUGACUACGAAUCAGUAGGCCGCAGGUUCAAUUCCUGCCGGGCGCACCA